UGACGUGCUUGCACUGAAUGACGUUGGAGUUACCAGUGAGCGGCGGACGGGUGAGUAACACGUGGGCAACCUGCCCUGGAGCGGGGGAGUAACAUCUGGAAACAGGUGCUAAUACCGCAUAACAACGAAAACCACAUGGUUUUCGUUUCAAAGAUGGUUUCGGCUAUCACUUCAGGAUGGGCCCGCGGUGCAUUAGCUAGUUGGUAAGGUAACGGCUUACCAAGGCAAUGAUGCAUAGCCGAGUUGAGAGACUGAUCGGCCACAAUGGAACUGAGACACGGUCCAUACUCCUACGGGAGGCAGCAGUAGGGAAUCUUCCACAAUGGGGCGCAAGCCUGAUGGAGCAACACCGCGUGAGUGAAGAAGGGUUUCGGCUCGUAAAGCUCUGUUGUUGGAGAAGAACGUGCGUGAGAGUAACUGUUCACGCAGUGACGGUAUCCAACCAGAAAGUCACGGCUAACUACGUGCC
rnacentral:rRNA from 1 species